GUUAAGGUGGCAGAGCCCGGCAAAUGCAAAAGACCUAAGCCCUUUGAACAGAGGUUCAACUCCUCUCCCUAACU
rnacentral:tRNA from 1 species